CUGCGAGUUCGCGGGAGAGUAAGUUAUUGCCAGGGUUUUUGUUUUAUACUUUAAACAUUGAUUUUAUUUUUUAUGUUUUUAGAUGUUCAUGUUUUUGAAUGUUUUAUUCAAAUAAUAUAAAAAAUAAAAUAUAUAUUGACAUGGAUUAAACAAAGAUAUAUAUUAUUCUAUGUUGUAUAAACAAAUUGGCAAAAUAGAGAUGGAAGAUAAAAAUAUGGUCAAAGUAAUAAGAGUCUAUGGUGAAUGCCUAGGA
rnacentral:misc_RNA from 1 species